AGCUGGAUCAGGGAAGCAAGCCCAUACAAAGUCUGAUGGGUUCAUGAUGGGCAUGUUUGGUGAUAGCUUAAUCCCCUGUUUCUUCAGUAUAGCUCCUGGAAAGCAGAUUUUGUUAGAAGGAAACUAUGCAUGACGAAUGGUUUAUUUGAAUGGAACUAACUUGAGCUGAAUACAUGAGCUCAAUUGAUUUAAGAAACUCUCUGCUUAAAUAGGCAUGAGGUCUGCUCUAUCUUCUUCAGGUCCCAAACCAUCUGGGAUUGAGACUAAGCUUAUCUUGUUGCGUACAUCGUCGUUUUCAGAUAAUGCCUUGAUCACUCUUUUGUGGUUGAAUUCCGAAUUAACAAA